GAACGCUGGCGGCAGGCCUAACACAUGCAAGUCGAGCGGUAACAUGUCUAGCUUGCUAGACGAUGACGAGCGGCGGACGGGUGAGUAAUGCUUGGGGAUCUGCCCGAUGGCGGGGGACAACCACUGGAAACGGUGGCUAAUACCGCAUAAUGUCUACGGACCAAAGUGUGGGACCUUCGGGCCACACGCCAUCGGAUGAACCCAAGUGAGAUUAGCUAGUUGGGUGGGGUAAAGGCUCACCAAGGCGAACGAUCUCUAGCUGGUUUGAGAGGAUGAUCAGCCACACUGGAACUGAGACACGGUCCAGACUCCUACGGGAGGCAGCAGUGGGGAAUAUUGGACAAUGGGGGCAACCCUGAUCCAGCCAUACCGCGUGUGUGAAGAAGGCCUUCGGGUUGUAAAGCACUUUCAGCGAGGAGGAAGGUAGCUGUGUUAAUAGCACUAUUUACUUGACGUUACUACGCAGAAGAAGCACCGGCUAACUCUGUGCCAGCAUCCGCGGUAAUACAGAGGGUGCAAGCGUUAAUCGGAAUUACUGGGCGUAAAGCGCACGCAGGCGGUUUGUUAAGUCAGAUGUGAAAUCCCCGGGCUCAACCUGGGAAUUGCAUUUGAAACUGGCAAGCUAGAGUACGAGAGAGGGGGGUAGAAUUCCACGUGUAGCGGUGAAAUGCGUAGAGAUGUGGAGGAAUACCGGUGGCGAAGGCGGCCCCCUGGCUCGAUACUGACGCUCAGGUGCGAAAGCGUGGGGAGCAAACAGGAUUAGAUACCCUGGUAGUCCACGCCGUAAACGAUGUCUACUAGCUGUUCGAGGUCUUGUACUUUGAGUAGCGCAGCUAACGCAUUAAGUUGACCGCCUGGGGAGUACGGUCGCAAGAUUAAAACUCAAAUGAAUUGACGGGGGGCCGCACAAGCGGUGGAGCAUGUGGUUUAAUUCGACGCAACGCGAGGAACCUUACCUACUCUGGAAAUCCAGAGAAUUUUCCAGAGAUGGUUUGGUGCCUUCGGGAACUCUGAGACAGGUGCUGCAUGGCUGUCGUCAGCUCGUGUUGUGAAAUGUUGGGUUAAGUCCCGCAACGAGCGCAACCCUUAUCCUUAGUUGCCAGCGAUUCGGUCGGGAACUCUAGGGAGACUGCCGGUGAUAAACCGGAGGAAGGUGGGGACGGACGUCAAGUCAUCAUGGCCCUUACGAGUAGGGUUACACACGUCCUACAAUGGUAUGUACAGAGGGAGGCAAGCUGUCGACAGUGAGCGGAUCUCUUAAAACAUAUCGUAGUCCGGAUCGCAGUCUGCAACUCGACUGCGUGAAGUCGGAAUCGCUAGUAAUCGCAAAUCAGAAUGUUGCGGUGAAUACGUUCCCGGGCCUUGUACACACCGCCCGUCACACCAUGGGAGUGGGUUCCAAAAGAAGUAGGUAGCUUAACCUUCGGGAGAGGCUUACCACUUUGUGAUUCAUGACUGGGGUGAAGUCGUAACAAGGUAUCCGUA
rnacentral:rRNA from 1 species